rnacentral:rRNA from 1 species
AGCUACUGCUAUCAGAGUUCGAUUAAGCCAUGUUAGUCGAGGGUGCUUCUUCCCCUUCGGGGGAAGAGGUAACCCGGCGGACGGCUCAGUAACACGUGGACAACUUAUCCUUCGGACCGGGAUAACCCCUGGGAAACUGGGGCUAAUACCGGAUAGAGCAUUGACCGCUGGAAUGCACGAUGCUCGAAAGCCGAGACGCCAAAGGAUAGGUCUGCGGCCGAUUAGGUUGUUGUUGAUGUAACGGAUCAACAAGCCUCCGAUCGGUACGGGUUGUGAGAGCAAGAGCCCGGAGAUGGGUUCUGAGAAAAGAACCCAGGUCCUACGGGACGCAUCAGGCGCGAAAACUUUACAAUGUGCGAAAGCACGAUAAGGGAACUCUGAGUGCCUCCUAUGGAGGCUGUUCAGGUGUCUAAAAAGCACUUGAAGUAAGGGCUGGGUAAGACCGGUGCCAGCCGCCGCGGUAACACCGGCAGCCCAAGUGGUAGCCACGAUUAUUGGGUCUAAAGCGUCCGUAGCCGGCCAGGUAAGUUCUUUGGGAAAUUUAACCGCUUAACGGUUAAGCUUUCAGGGAAUACUGCUUGGCUUGGGACCGGGAGAGGUCAGAGGUACUUCAAGGGUAGGGGUGAAAUCCGUUAAUCCUUGAGGGACCACCAGUAGCGAAGGCGUCUGACCAGACCGGGUCCGACGGUGAGGGACGAAGGCUAGGGUCGCGAACCGGAUUAGAUACCCGGGUAGUCCUAGCUGUAAACGAUGCGGGCCAGGUGUUGGCAUUACUGCGAGUGAUGUCAGUGCCGAAGGGAAGCCGUUAAGCCCGCCAUCUGGGGAGUACGGUCGCAAGGCUGAAACUUAA